AUGCUCUCUUGGGCAGCACAUAUACUAGAAUUGGAAUGAUACAGAAAUUAGCGUGGCCCCUGCGCAAGGAUGACGCGUCGAUUCGUGAGGCGUUCCGUAUCUUU
ensembl:snRNA U6 U6 spliceosomal RNA